AUUGAACGCUGGCGGCAUGCCUUACACAUGCAAGUCGAACGGUAACAGGUUAAGCUGACGAGUGGCGAACGGGUGAGUAAUAUAUCGGAACGUGCCCAAUCGUGGGGGAUAACGCAGCGAAAGUUGUGCUAAUACCGCAUAAGGUCUACGGAUGAAAGCGGGGGAUCGCAAGACCUCGCGCGAGUGGAGCGGCCGAUAUCAGAUUAGCUAGUUGGUGGGGUAAAGGCCCACCAAGGCGACGAUCUGUAGCUGGUCUGAGAGGACGACCAGCCACACUGGGACUGAGACACGGCCCAGACUCCUACGGGAGGCAGCAGUGGGGAAUUUUGGACAAUGGGCGCAAGCCUGAUCCAGCAAUGCCGCGUGCAGGAUGAAGGCCUUCGGGUUGUAAACUGCUUUUGUACGGAGCGAAAAAGCUCUCUCUAAUACAGAGGGCUCAUGACGGUACCGUAAGAAUAAGCACCGGCUAACUACGUGCCAGCCGCCGCCGUAAAAC
rnacentral:rRNA from 1 species